rnacentral:misc_RNA from 1 species
CCGAGUUCAGUGCCCUCGCGGGCUAUAUCUCCCACCCUUGUGUAUUUAUACCUUGUUGCUUUGGCAGGCCGCUGGCUUGACCCACCGGCUCUGAGCUGGUCAGUGCCCUGCCAGAGGACCUCCAAACUCUGUUUCUGUUAAUCUGUCUGAGUACUAUACUAAUCGUUA